GAGCGGUAACGGGUCCAGCUUGCUGGAUGCCGACGAGCGGCGGACGGGUGAGUAAUGCAUAGGAAUCUGCCCAGUCGUGGGGGAUAACCUGGGGAAACCCAGGCUAAUACCGCAUACGUCCUACGGGAGAAAGCGGGGGCUUCGUGUUCUUCGGAAUGGGGACCUCGCGCGAUUGGAUGAGCCUAUGUCGGAUUAGCUGGUUGGUGAGGUAACGGCUCACCAAGGCGACGAUCCGUAGCUGGUCUGAGAGGAUGAUCAGCCACACCGGGACUGAGACACGGCCCGGACUCCUACGGGAGGCAGCAGUGGGGAAUAUUGGACAAUGGGCGCAAGCCUGAUCCAGCCAUGCCGCGUGUGUGAAGAAGGCUUUCGGGUUGUAAAGCACUUUCAGUGGGGAAGAAGGCCUGGCGGUCAAUACCCGCCAGGGACGACAUCACCCACAGAAGAAGCACCGGCUAACUCCGUGCCAGCAGCCGCGGUAAUACGGAGGGUGCGAGCGUUAAUCGGAAUUACUGGGCGUAAAGCGCGCGUAGGCGGCCAAGUAAGCCGGUUGUGAAAGCCCCGGGCUCAACCUGGGAAUGGCAUCCGGAACUGGUUGGCUAGAGUGCAGGAGAGGAAGGUAGAAUUCCCGGUGUAGCGGUGAAAUGCGUAGAGAUCGGGAGGAAUACCAGUGGCGAAGGCGGCCUUCUGGACUGACACUGACGCUGAGGUGCGAAAGCAUGGGUAGCAAACAGGAUUAGAUACCCUGGUAGUCCAUGCCGUAAACGAUGUCGACUAGCCGUUGGGUCCCUUGAGGACUU
rnacentral:rRNA from 1 species